GCAGUUUGUCUGUGUGUGUGUGUGUGUGUGUGUGUGUGUGUGUGUGUGUGUGUGUGUGUGUGUGUGUGUGUGUGUGUGUGUGUGUGUGUGUGUGUGUGUGUGUGUGUGUGUGUGUGUGUGUGUGUGUGUGUGUGUGUGUGUGUGUGUGUGUGUGUGUGCGUGUGCGGAGCUCUGUCUGGGAAGUGCCAGCGGUGGACUACCGUGUUCACGAGAACGUUGGGCUUUUCGGACCCUGAUUACAUAAUGCCCUGCGGUGUGUGUGGAUGGUGAAGCUCCGUCUGAGCAGCGAUUUAUUUAAUGUCCGCGUCCGGAUGCAGCUGCCACUGCUAACGCCGCCGGCGACUAAAAACAAACAACCCGGCAAGAAGCGUGCUAUUCGGCCUACCACUUCUGGUCCGGCCAAGCGUGCGAGGAAGAAUGCCGAUCAUCCCGGUCCCCGGUAUCCUCAACCAUCUUACCCACAAGUCCUCAACACUGAUAUCUUCCAGGUUCUACAAACCCUCGCAGAAUCCGUGAAAAGCCUCGGAGCAAGGAAGGACGAUGUCGAGACACCGAUCAAAACUCCCGGAUGGGUCCAGGCCCCCAACCCGCUGUCGUCAGUCGUCACGGCGCCCAUCAACUUCCUGCACACCCCGGCGCGCAACAAUCUGUCUCGGCUUCCUCCGCUAACACAGUCUACGCACCAGCCGCGUGUUCAGCCACCGUGCCUAUUGCCGUCUUGGCAAUCUUCGUCCCUAGCUCCCAAAUCUUUUUCAUUAUCUACAGCUCUACCAGUUCAGCAUCCGGGUAGGAGUUUCAUUACGUCCGCCGCGGCAACCGUUUACCAUCUUACUAAAAACAAUGUACUCCAUGGUAAAGAUGUCAAUCUUGCGGGUUUACUGUUACCUUCCCCUGCCAUAAAGCGACAAUGGGUUGAUUGUGGCGACGUGUCUGUUCUUUUAAAGACUACAGAUCCCAGACUAACGUGCAAUUUAUCUUUUGGCGAGUUCGUUAUUACUUUUGGUAUCUACAGAGACAUCAUGUGCUGAGUUUAACCUGAAAGGAGGAUCGAACUAGACGCUUACCUUGCCAUCAUCGCUGACCUCAACCAUUGGGGAACUCAAUUUUGAUAUCAAUUUUAUGAAUAUCAUUAAGCGUUCUCUGCCAAGUCAGCCCAAUGCAUAACCAUGUUAAACACUAGAAUCGACUGGUCUAUCACGGACACCGAGCUCCUGCUCUGCCAUUUCAGUGGCCACAAGUCGCUAUCGUGCACCAUCUGUAGUUCUCACGGACACAGAACGGUGCUAUACCAAAAGACUGCUACUACCUCUCCCGUUCCAUUCCCUGUCCAUGGUGGUGAACAUUAUUUGCAAGGACCCACACCCGAAAUCCACCUGCCCCUGCCGUCAAAGGCAGACAGGCCAAGGGAGGGCCCCUCCCUUCAUGAGAUUCUAAAAUCUCAUCCAUUUACCCCAAUUAACAUUCCUUCAUUAUCAAAUUUCUCUCGUCUCACCCAUACCCCUGUUUUGUAGACCAUCUUAUCGCGGGCCUUUCACAAGGGUUUCGGGUGGGAGUCUCCAGUCAGCUCAGGCUGAACCAGAAAUAGUGUCUGCUCUUCUGGCUAAAGAGGUCCACAAAAAGUACGUUAUUGGCCCAUUUAGUUCUCCCCCCUUCUCUCUUUUCUGCAUCAAUUCUCUCGGCGUCGCUACUCGGAGAUAGUCAGGGAAAAAACGUCUUAUUUUUGACAUGUCCUCUACUCACUCCGACUAUCACAACUUUCAACGAAUGUAUCCCACCAGCACCAGCACCAUUUUCUUUGUAAUAUGCCACCAUCGAUGACGCAAUUGCGUUUAAUAAAAUCGCAGGUCAGGGAGCCUGGCUUGCUAAAGCCGACAUUACGGAUGCUUUUAAAAUAAUGCCUAUUCAUCGUUCCGAUUGGCCGCUGUUCGGAGUUAAAUGGCCCAUUUGGUCCCAAAACCGAACAACAUAAUAUACCUCAACGAAGGCAGGAAAUUCUGGUAGUUUCUUCUUGCUUAUUGGAACGGUAUAUCUUUCUUCUAUAAUGAUGUGCCCAAACAAUCCGAUUCUCUCAAACUAUUGCAAUUAUUAAUAAACCGUGAUCUGCAUGGCCUACCAUUACUUCUCUGAUCAGACGUCUAACACGGCCGUUACUCCCAAUUUCAUCAUAAAUGCUGAGCAUAAACCCGGUCACUAUAAUGUUCUAGCUGAUUCUCUCUCUUGUUUUAGUUUCCAGGAAUUAAGACGCCUAUGCCCCGCAGCGAAUAUUGACCCAAUACUCAGCCCACCUUUCCACGAACUCCGGAUGGAUCAGGCAACAGUUUAAAUUCGCUGUUACUGUGCGUUCACACCAAACGCGACGGGGCGACAAGAUCCCAUACAAAGUGAACGUAGAGACGUGUAUCGGGCGAAUUUCUUCGCAAGAGAAACCGCCGAAAAGUUUUGAUUUGUCGCGCCACACUUUUGCCGUGCACAGGCGAGCGCUUUCACGAGGAUUUGUAGCGUGAAAAAUUCGCUCGAGUUGAAAUAUUUCAACUUUGAUGCGAAUUUAGCGUGAUUACGCGUGAUGACAGCCAAUCAGCUGUCACUUCCCGAUCAAGAUCAAACUGCUAAAUGGAGGAGAAAAUUAUUAUUUCGGCGUCCGCUCUGCCUGAGCUUUUUAAUUGCACCAUGUCUGGUUACAAGGACCGGACGGUGAAGGCAAGGGUCCGGCAGAAGGUGAGCCAAGAGGUUGGGCUAACUGGUACGUUUUUUAAAUUUACUUCACUUUAAAAGUUACUAUAUUCCAGCUAUUAAUUGUACUUAACUAUGAACCAAGCUAGUUAGUUAGCAGUUACCAUUCAACAGUUCAGUUCGGAUUACACAACGUAGUUUUAUUUCUUGUCAGAGGACGUCUGCCGCAAGAGACUGAAGGGCCUGAGUGACACCUACCUCAGGGAGAGACGAAAAGAGGCGGGAAAGAGGAGUGGGACAGCAGCAGGGCCAUCUAAGAGGUGGAAGUACUCUGCAAUCCUGUCUUUCCUCUACCCAUUUGUUACUCAGAGGGAGACCAGUAGCAAUAUGGGGCUGGGGGUCGAAGAAGACGGGAUUGCAGAAUACCCAGUCGAAGACCAGGGUUCAGAGGCAGCAGCAGGGACAGCGAAUAACCUAGGAGAAGAUCGAACCUGUACAAGCUGUGAGGAGCCGGAGGCUGCUGCUGCCUCUGAACCCAUUCCACCACCACCACCAACUGCUGCGGUCACCACAUCCCUAUUGCCCCAGUGAGGACACAGAAAAGAAGGAGAGUGGGGGGAGGGAGAGAUAGAGAAGUGCCUCCUGGAGGUGUUGAGGAGGCAGCCUCCACCUGCUCCAGUGCCUCCGCCUCCUCCUCCUCCAGCGCCUCUCUCCGAGGACGAGACAAACUUUUUUUGAAAGGGAUACUUCCUUCCCUGCAACGAUUGCCAAACCAUGCCAAAGAACACAUGAAAUUUCAAAUUUAUAAAUGAUUGCAUGACCCUAACAGUUACUAUAAUCCAGAACUGCUCAAUUUAGACAAUCAAUUUGGACCAUUCGGUGAAUUGGUUCACUGGGGUGACAAUCGUUGCAGGGAAUGAUCCAUGCCCAUUUUUUUUUGUUUACACACGCACACACACACACACACACACACACACACACACACACACACACACACACACACACACACACACACACACACACACGCCACAAUAAAUGAUUAUUUCUAUUAAAAAAAUGUGGCUUCAUUGAAUGGCCAUUUAAGUUGCUUGAGGGAUAUGUUGCAAAUUAUUUUGUGCCACUGAUUUUAGGGUCCAAGCAACUUUGCUUAAGGAAUUUUUUGUCAGUUAUGUUGUGCCCUGCUCGUUGAAGAGCACAACCAAGAACGGGAGGUCCAUACAGCGACAGUCAAAUGUACGUCACAUUUAUUUAGUAACUCGAAAGAAACCACAAAUCAGUAUUCUGUAGUGUAGUGUGUUGUUUACAAACUAAACUAUGAGUAUGCAAACAAAGGCUAAAGGGCUACAAUAACAACCCCAAACCAAACCCAGUUGGGUGCCGGGCAGCACCAGCAUUCCAGGCAUGGACAAUGGAUUAAAAAAUGGCGCCUAUUCAUUCCUAUGUAAACUGCUCAAUGGCGCAGGGCAACAUCAAGGAGAGAUAUGCUUCCGCAUCGUGGGUCUAUGGCCACGCCCUACUUCAUGACGUACCGGAUGCAGAAAUAUUCUUGUUUUUUUAGCAUUGUUAGCAUUGUAGCAUCAUAAGCGAGAGGUCUGGGCAAUAGCAGUCGCAUUUACCGACCAUGGAAGUAAUCCCCCGAUGAUUCUCUAUAUGUUUAACAAUUAUUAUUUUAGAUUAGUUUGCCCCUUUUUAACUUUAUAAGAAAAGCACCUUGUAUAUACCUUUUUGAAUGUUAAAACAGAAAUAAUAAUUACCACUCAUUUUUUUUAUAUAUUUCUGUUUCUGAAACGAGAAUCAAAUGCCCAAUAUAUACACAGACCCAUCAGCCGGUGUACCCAGGGAACUCACAAGGUGUUAGGAAGCAAAGGAGUCUGAAAUGACCCCACAUGGUAUCAUGGAGCUAUUAUGUGUGGGUGCAAUAAAUAAGACAGAUAUGAUGGUGGCGGUGCCAGCCCCACGUCAGGUUUCAAAACCAAGUAAUACUGAAACUGAAUCUCAAACUUGAUCCUGAAAUGUAUUUAACAUGAAAUAUUUUACAGGGAGAGGGCUGUGGCCGCAAUCGAUGGAGGAGGCAGUCAGGUGUGCAGGAAGACAACAACAGGAGUAUGAUGGACAGGGAUCUGACAUGGACAGGGAAUUUUUUUAUUUGAACAAUCAGAGGAAAUCAGGCCUACUGUAGGCCUAUGUAAAUAAGAUUAAAGAUGUCUAGGAUAGUAUAAAUGAUAACUGUAAAUGGCAGGUGUACUUUGCUUUUGAUGGAGCCAUAAUGUUCUAUUAAUAAAAAUAUUAAUAAAAUGCAUUUUAUUGAUGGGCACCUUUCAGCACACCUUACAUGUAUAAUUAAUAAUAGAUCGAAAACACUUGGGGGGAGCGUGUUUGUCACUUUUGUGAAAUAGCUGGAAAGAGCUGGAGUAACGGAAUAAGAUGCAGCUGCAGGGCGCUGCAUCUUAUUCCGGAGGUGAUGCAUGAGGCAUGAUGGUGGCACGGCAGACAAGUAGGGGAGCAUGAUGGACUGGGAUCUGGGGCCGUAUUCACAAAGCAUUUUAUCUUACCGCUAGGAGUGCUCCUAACUCGCGCUAAAACAUUUUACGUAGGAGUUUUUUCUUAAAAGUUAUUCACAAAGCCGCUGAGACCUACUCUUACUAAGGAUAAAUCACAAAGAGUGAACUAAGAGUGACGCGCCGUUGCUAUGGAUUACGUCAAUUCUCGUGCACGAGUUUAGAAGCAGUCAGUUCGGUGAUUGGUUGUUCAGACGAGCCCACUGAAUCACCGAAAAACAAGGAAAUAGCCUAGGCUAGAAAUGAAUCCCUAUUAAGUAGUUAUAGUGCAGUUAGCAGAAUACACGCAUGAUGACAAUUUUGUGCAGACCACGAUAAUGACGUUGUAGCCU
ensembl:lncRNA